rnacentral:sRNA from 1 species
CGCGAAUGCCCUCCGUGGGCGUUUCCUCCCUGAGCCUGGGCCACGCGAAAGCGUGGCCUUUUUUUAUUCAGCG